UACAGAGGUGGCAAGCGUUGUUCGGAAUUACUGGGCGUAAAGGGCGCGUAGGCGGCCAUCUAAGUCAGACGUGAAAUCCCCCGGCUUAACCUGGGAACUGCGUCUGAUACUGGAAGGCUGGAGUUUGGGAGAGGGAUGUGGAAUUCCAGGUGUAGCGGUGAAAUGCGUAGAUAUCUGGAGGAACACCGGUGGCGAAGGCGGCAUCCUGGACCAACACUGACGCUGAGGCGCGAAAGCUAGGGGAGCAAACGGG
rnacentral:rRNA from 1 species